UACAGAGGUCUCAAGCGUUUGUUCGGAUUCAUUGGGCGUAAAGGGUGCGUAGGUGGCGUCGUAAGUCAGGUGUGAAAUUUCGGAGCUUAACUCCGAAACUGCAUUUGAUACUGCGGUGCUUGAGGACUGGAGAGGAGACUGGAAUUUACGGUGUAGCAGUGAAAUGCGUAGAGAUCGUAAGGAAGACCAGUGGCGAAGGCGGGUCUCUGGACAGUUCCUGACACUGAGGCACGAAGGCCAGGGGAGCAAACGGG
rnacentral:rRNA from 1 species